AUUGCUGAAUCCAUGCAGAGUUGUGGCGGACAAAUAAUUCCUCCAGCAGGCUACUUCCAGAAAGUGGCAGAAUAUGUACAUGGUGCAGGGGGUGUGUUUAUAGCUGAUGAAGUUCAAGUGGGCUUUGGCAGAGUUGGGAAACAUUUCUGGAGCUUCCAGAUGUAUGGUGAAGACUUUGUUCCAGACAUCGUCACAAUGGGAAAACCGAUGGGCAAUGGCCACCCGGUGGCAUGUGUGGUAACAACCAAAGAAAUUGCAGAAGCCUUCAGCAGCUCUGGGAUGGAAUAUUUUAAUACGUAUGGAGGAAAUCCAGUAUCUUGUGCUGUUGGUUUGGCUGUCCUGGAUAUAAUUGAAAAUGAAGACCUUCAAGGAAAUGCCAAGAGAGUAGGGAAUUAUCUCACUGAGUUACUGAAAAAACAGAAGGCUAAACACACUUUGAUAGGAGAUAUUAGGUAUGUUCAUUAUGAAGUUGUCAUGUAGUUACUCAUUUUUUUCAAAAUAAUAAUAGUUUAUAGGCUGGGCAACAUGGUGAAACCCCGUCUCUAUUAAAACUACAAAAAAUUAGCCAGGUGUGGUGGCACACACCAAUAGUCCCAGCUACUUGGGAGGCUGAGGCAUGAGAAUCACUUGAGCCUGGGAGGCAGAGGUUGCAGUGAGCCGAGAUUGUGCCGCUGC
rnacentral:sRNA from 1 species